rnacentral:lncRNA from 1 species
UCCUUCUGCUGCACCAUCAGAACCCAACAUAGUGACCAUUAUUCUCAACCAAGAUCAGAAUUAUUAGUUGGACCUCUCAUGAUAUUGGCUGAACCUUUGCCUAAAAAGAAAAAGGCAACAGUAGAGGAUCCAAAAACACUCCCUCAGCACAUCGAGUAUAUAGAUCUAGGUCCCUUAGAAUUCUGACUAGUACUUAAGUUAUACCUAGAUUAAUUGUAGAGGAAGAGUUAUUAGCCAUCAGAGGAAUGAGUCACAUAAUGGUCCCACAUAGAAAAUACUUUAAGAAAGAGCCCAAAUCACGUAGGAAAUUACAGACCCAUAUUAAGAUUCAGGCAAGAAUAGGAUAAGCACUCUUUUAGCGUUUGGCUAAAGAUGGUAAACUUAGUGCUUACUGGGAGGCAACCUAGAUCCUUGCAUUUUAAUUUUUUUUAAUUUAUUUAGAUGAGAAUUAUGUUGAAUAAGUUAGGGCGAAGAGCCAAAUAUACACUCUUAAGGAU